rnacentral:rRNA from 1 species
GGGGGGGGGGGGGGGGGGGGCUGGGGCAGGGGAGGCGAGCGAACAGACGAGGGGCUUGCUCCUCGGACGUUAGCGGCGGACGGGGGAGUAACACGUGGAUAACCUACCUAUAAGACUGGGAUAACUUCGGGAAACCGGAGCUAAUACCGGAUAAUAUAUUGAACCGCAUGGUUCAAUAGUGAAAGACGGGUUUGCUGUCACUUAUAGAUGGAUCCGCGCCGCAUUAGCUAGUUGGUAAGGUAACGGCUUACCAAGGCGACGAUGCGUAGCCGACCUGAGAGGGUGAUCGGCCACACUGGAACUGAGACACGGUCCAGACUCCUACGGGAGGCAGCAGUAGGGAAUCUUCCGCAAAGGGCGAAAGCUUGACGGAGCAACGCCGCGUGAGUGAUGAAGGUCUUCGGAUCGUAAAACUCUGUUAUUAGGGAAGAACAAAUGUGUAAGUAACUAUGCACGUCUUGACGGUACCUAAUCAGAAAGCCACGGCUAACUACGUG